rnacentral:snRNA from 11 species
GGAUAUGAGGGUUAUCUGGCUGCAACAUCUGUCACCCCACUGAUCGCCAGGGUUGUUUUGGCUGAUAUGGCUGGCUAGGCGGGUGUCCCUUUCCUCCCUCACUGCUCCAUGUGCGUCCCUCCCAAAGCUGCGAGCUCGGUGGAAGAGGACGACAUCCCAGGUAUAGAAGGAGUGUAUUAUUUAUUUAUUAUUUAUUUACAGUAUUUAUAUUCCGCCCUUCUCACCCCGAAGGUUUCCAGUCUUCAGUCCUGAGUAUACGAUAGGAGGCACAUAUCAUACCCAUCUCCCUCCUGCAACUUCCUCCCACAAGAAGAACAAAGUU